UAAAGGAGGAGUUAGGGACGGAGGUCUCCCAGGAGGCGGACGUUUCUUGAGACCCCUGCUGGUCCGGGAGAGCGGCUGGGACUUGCGUUAGUUCUCAGGGGUGACUUUCAAGAUGAACUCAACUCUAACAGCAAGUGUAAUCCGGGAACAGUUUAUAGAUUUCUUCAAAAGAAAUGAGCAUACCUAUGUUCACUCAUCUGCCACCAUCCCAUUGGAUGACCCUACUUUGCUCUUUGCCAAUGCAGGCAUGAAUCAGUUCAAACCCAUCUUCCUGAACACCAUCGACCCAUCUCACCCUUUGGCAAAGCUGAGCAGAGCUGCCAAUACGCAGAAAUGCAUCCGGGCUGGGGGCAAGCACAAUGACCUAGAUGACGUGGGCAAAGAUGUUUAUCACCACACUUUCUUUGAGAUGCUGGGCUCCUGGUCUUUUGGCAAUUACUUCAAGGAAUUAGCAUGUAAGAUGGCUCUGGAACUUCUCACUCAAGAGUUUGGCAUUCCAGUUGACAGACUCUAUGUUACUUACUUUGGAGGGGAUGAAGCAGCUGGCUUAGAACCAGAUCUGGAAUGUAAACAUCUGGCAAAAUUUGGGGCUGGAUGACACCAAAAUCCUCCCUGGCAACAUGAAGGAUAACUUCUGGGAGAUGGGUGACACAGGCCCAUGUGGUCCCUGCAGCGAGAUUCACUAUGACUGGAUUGGUGACCGAGAUGCUGCACACCUUGUCAACCAGGACGAUCCCAAUGUGCUCGAGAUCUGGAACCUUGUGUUCAUCCAGUAUAACAGGGAGACGGAUGGCACUUUGAAACCUCUUCCCAAGAAAAGCAUUGACACGAGGAUGGGGCUGGAGUGACUGGUGUCUGUGCUACAGAAUAAGAUGUCCAACUAUGACACUGACCUCUUUGUUCCCUACUUUGAAGCCACACAGAAGGGCACAGGCGCCCGUCCCUAUACUGGGAAGGUUGGGGCUGAGGAUGCUGAUGGGAUUGACAUGGCCUACAGAGUGCUGGCUGACCACGCUCAGACCAUCACUGUGGCCCUGGCUGACGGUGGCCGGCAUGACAACACAGGGCGAGGGUAUGUGUUGCGACGGAUUCUCCGCCGGGCUGUCCGAUACUCCCACGAGAAACUCAACGCCAGCAGGGGUUUCUUUGCCACAUUAGUCGACGUUGUUGUGCAGUCCCUGGGAGACGCAUUUCCUGAGCUAAAGAAAGACCCAGACAUGGCGAAGGACAUUAUUAAUGAAGAAGUGCAGUUUCUCAAGACUCAGCAGAGGACGUCGCAUCCUGGACCAGAAAAUUCAGAGCCUGGGAGACUGCAGGACCAUUCCAAGUGACACUGCUUGGUUACUCUAUGACACCUAUGGGUUCCCAGUGGAUCUCACUGGACUCAUUGCUGAAGAGAAGGGCCUGGUGGUAGACAUGGAUGGCUUUGAAGAGGAGCGGAAGCUGGCCCAGCUGAAGUCUCAGGGCAAGGGCGCAGGCAGGGAAGAUCACAUUAUGCUGGAUAUCUACGCUAUCGAAGAGCUGCGGGCACAGGGCCUAGAGGCCACGGAUGACUCCGAAGUAUAGCUACCACUCAGACUCCAGCGGUGGCUACGUGUUUGAGAGUGCAGUGGCCACAGUGCAGGCUCUGCGGAGAGAGAUGUUCGUGGAAGAGGUGUCCACGGGUCAGGAGUGUGGAGUGGUGCUGGACAAGACUUGUUUCUAUGCUGAGCAAGGGGGGCAGAUCUACGAUGAAGGCUACCUGGUGAAGGUGGACGACAGCAGCGAGGACAAAACUGAGUUCACAGUGAAGAACACUCAGGUGCAAGGAGGGUAUGUGCUACACAUAGGCACCAUCUAUGGCAGCCUGAAAGUGGGCGAUCAGGUCCGGCUGUUCAUUGAUGAGCCCCGGCAGAGACCCAUCAUGAGCAACCACACAGCCACCCACAUUCUCAACUUUGCCCUGCGCUCAGUGCUUGGGGAGGCGGAUCAGAAAGGCUCACUGGUCGCUCCUGACCGCCUUCGAUUUGACUUCACUGCCAAGGGAGCCAUGUCCACCCAACAGAUUAAGAAGGCCGAAGAAAUCGCUAAUGAGAUGAUUGAGGCAGCCAAGCCGGUCUAUACCCAGGACUGUCCACUGGCAGCAGCCAAAGCCAUCCAGGGCCUGCGGGCUGUGUUUGAUGAGACCUAUCCUGACCCUGUGCGAGUUGUGUCCAUUGGGGUCCCAGUGUCCGAGCUGUUGGAUGACCCCUCAGGGCCUGCUGGCUCCCUCACUUCUGCUGAGUUCUGCAGAGGAACGCAUCUGCGGAACUCAAGUCAUGCAGGAGCUUUUGUGAUUGUGACAGAAGAAGCUAUUGCCAAGGGUAUCUGCAGGAUCAUUGCCAUCACAGGUGCUGAAGCCCAGAAGGCCCUCAGGAAGGCAGAGAGCUUAAAGAAAUCUCUCUCCACCAUGGAGUCCAAAGUGAAUGCCCAGACCACACCAAACAAGGAUGUACAGAAGGAGAUUGCUGACCUUGGUGAGGCCCUGGCCACCGCGGUUAUUCCCCAGUGGAAGAAGGAUGAACUUCGGGAGACUCUGAAAUCCCUAAAGAAGGUCCUGGAUGACCUAGACCAAGCCAGCAAGGCUGACCUCCAGAAGCGAGUGUUGGAGAGGACAAAGCAGCUCAUCGACAGCAACCCCAACCAGCCCCUGGUCAUCCUGGAGAUGGAGAGUGGUGCC